rnacentral:misc_RNA from 1 species
AACCAUAGAAACCUGCGGAGUACCUGCGGAGGGAUCAUUACACAAUACAAUAUGAAGGCUGUCCGCAGCUGGAGUAUUUUAUUACCCUUGUCUUUUGCGCACUUGUUGUUUCCUGGGCGGGUUCGCUCGCCACCAGGACCACCAAAUAAACCUUUUUUAUGCAGUUGCAAUCAGCGUCAGUACAAACAAUGUAAAUCAUUUACAACUUUCAGCAACGGAUCUCAGAUCGGAAGAGCACAC